CAGUAGCCGCGGUAAUACGGAGGGUGCAAGCGUUAAUCGGAAUUACUGGGCGUAAAGCGCACGCAGGCGGUCUGUCAAGUCGGAUGUGAAAUCCCCGGGCUCAACCUGGGAACUGCAUCCGAAACUGGCAGGCUAGAGUCUUGUAGAGGGGGGUAGAAUUCCAGGUGUAGCGGUGAAAUGCGUAGAGAUCUGGAGGAAUACCGGUGGCGAAGGCGGCCCCCUGGACAAAGACUGACGCUCAGGUGCGAAAGCGUGGGGAGCAAACAGGAUUAGAUACCCGGGUAGUCCCUGUCUCUUAUAC
rnacentral:rRNA from 1 species